AGGACGAACGCUGGCGGCGUGCUUAACACAUGCAAGUCGAGCGGAAAGGCCCUUCGGGGUACUCGAGCGGCGAACGGGUGAGUAACACGUGAGCAACCUGCCCCUGGCUCUGGGAUAGCCUUCGGAAACGGGGAUUAAUACCGGAUAUUCACUGCUUCCUGCAUGGGGGGUGGUGGAAAGUUUUUCGGCUGGGGUGGGCUCGCGGCCUAUCAGCUUGGUUGGGGGGUGACGGCCCACCAAGGCGACGACGGGUAG
rnacentral:rRNA from 1 species